rnacentral:rRNA from 1 species
CCCUUAGAUGUUCUGGGCUGCACGCGCGCUACACUGAUGCGCUCAACGAGUUUUAACCUUGCCUGGAAAGGUUGGGUAAUCUUUUUAAAACGCAUCGUGAUGGGGAUAGAUUAUUGCAAUUAUUAAUCUUCAACGAGGAAUUCCUAGUAAACGCAAGUCAUCAGCUUGCAUUGAUUACGUCCCUGCCCUUUGUACACACCGCCCGUCGCACCUACCGAUUGAAUGGUCCGGUGAAAUCUCGGGACGGCGGCUUGGUCGCUUGCGUCCGACUGCUGAAACUUGAUUAAACCAUNUNAUUUAUNGGAAGGUGAANUCGUANCA